rnacentral:rRNA from 1 species
AUUGAACGCUGGCGGCAGGCCUAACACAUGCAAGUCGAGCGAGCGGCGGACGGGUGAGUAAUGUAUGGAGCCUGCCAGAGAGAGGGGGAAAAAUACUGGAAACGGUGGCUAAUACCGCAUACUAGCGGAUAACCCAUAUGGGAUUAGCUAGUAGGUGGGUGAAAGGCUCACCUAGGCGACGAUCCAGAGCUGGUCAGAGAGGAUGAUCAUCCACACUGGGACUGAGACACGGCCCAUACUCCUACGGAGGCAGCAGUGGGGAAUAUUGCACAAUGGGCGCAAGCCUGAUGAAGCCAUGCCGCGUGUAUGAAGAAGGCCUUAGGGUUGUAAAGUACUUUCAGCGGGGAGGCGUUACCCACAGAAGAAGCACCGGCUAACUCCGUGCCAGCAGCCGCGGUAAUAC